rnacentral:rRNA from 1 species
AAUGCGUAGAGAUCUGGAGGAAUACCGGUGGCGAAGGCGGCCCCCUUGACAAAGACUGACGCUCAGGUGCGAAAGCGUGGGGAUCAAACAGGAUUAGAUACCCUGGUAGUCCACGCCGUAAACGAUGUCGAUUUGGAGGUUGUGCCCUUGAGGCGUGGCUUCCGGAGCUAACGCGUUAAAUCGACCGCCUGGGGAGUACGGCCGCAAGGUUAAAGCUCAAAUGAAUUGACGGGGGCCCGCACAAGCGGUGGAGCAUGUGGUUUAAUUCGAUGCAACGCGAAGAACCUUACCUGGUCUU